AACGAACGCUGGCGGCAUGCCUAACACAUGCAAGUCGAACGAGACCUUCGGGUCUAGUGGCGCACGGGUGCGUAACGCGUGGGAACCUGCCCUUAGGUUCGGAAUAACUCCCCGAAAGGGGUGCUAAUACCGGAUAAUGUCUUCGGACCAAAGAUUUAUCGCCUUUGGAUGGGCCCGCGUUGGAUUAGUUAGUUGGUAGGGUAAAAGCCUACCAAGGCGACGAUCCAUAGCUGGUCUGAGAGGAUGAUCAGCCACACUGGGACUGAGACACGGCCCAGACUCCUACGGGAGGCAGCAGUGGGGAAUAUUGGACAAUGGGCGAAAGCUUGAUCCAGCAAUGCCGCGUGAGUGAUGAAGGCCUUAGGGUUGUAAAGCUCUUUUACCCGGGAUGAUAAUGACAGUACCGGGAGAAUAAGCUCCGGCUAACUCCGUG
rnacentral:rRNA from 1 species